CCCCACGCUAGACCUAACCUGCUUUUGCCAACCAGCCUAUAUACCGCCGUCGCCAGCCUGCCUAAUGAUAGACCCACAGCAGGCACAAGUAACCCCUUAAACACGUCAGGUCAAGGUGUAGCUAAUAAGCAGGUGCCAGAUGGGCUACAUUUUCUAAGCACAAGAAAACCACUACAGGCAUUAUGAAACAUGCGCCGAAAGGCGGAUUUAGUAGUAAGUCGGGCAAGAAAGCCUAACUGAAACCUGCCCUGGGACAC
rnacentral:rRNA from 1 species